rnacentral:misc_RNA from 1 species
GUAUUCGCAUAUCUGAAUUCUGAUUCUUUAAAGAGAUCAAGAUCGCAUUUUUACACACAUUUAACAAGUAAAUACAAUAACAUGCUUAUGGUAAUUGUACUGCUGAAUUGUUGUUCAUGUCCAAACCAGAAUGCAAUACAGUUAAAACAAAGCAGAAGUACAAACACCACACUUCCAUUUUCCCUUGCUACAUAAAUCCAUUAAAGACGCCAUUACAUACUUAGUUUCUCCUACCAUUUGCUAAUUUUCAUUAGGUACAGGAGGCCGGCCUCUUCCCAUUGUAAAACCUCUGGUUCCAUCAGGCAUUUUAGGGCCAGGAGGUGGCUUCGAUGGUUCAACAACAUGAGCUGCAGAUGUAGUUCCAUGACCCAAGCCAUUAGUGGCACGAUAUUUGUUCCUCCUCGGUCGUCCCCAAUUUCGAACUCUCUGUCCAUUCUUUUCCUUAGAUAAAUGCUCCCCAUCCUCUUCAUCAGGUGUAUCGUCAUGGUGCUCACUACAGUGAUGAUUCUCAUCUUCUGUUUGAUUAGAUGGACGGCUAGUGCUAUUCUUUUCAGCAUCAGCAUCCCUCCAGGCCUGUUUUCUCUGUCCAUACUUGCCCAUUCGCUUAAGAAGCUUAACUCGCAUGCCAUUUCUCCAGUCCUGUUCAUUAUUUAAUGUAGCCACAGCUUUCUCUGCAGCCUCAACAGUGUCGUACUCAACAACAGCGUGUAACUUGCUACUGAUUAGAAUAUCUGCUUUGCUUCGUUUUUUUGAUUCUUCCACAGCAUGUGGAUCACGAAUGGAAAUAUUUUUUAUCUUCCCAGCUUCACCAAAUAUUCGUUGGAUGUUCAAUACUGAGUGAUCCUCUGGAAGAUUCUCAACCAGAACAGAGCAUAACUAGGGUCCACAAUAUAUAUGUUCAAAAGUUUCUGCAAAUAACAUGUUCAACAUAUGGGGGAAAUAUCUAGUCCUUUAAGUAAAAAUACCUUUGGAUCCUUAACCUCAGCAAAUGGAAAAGGAUGAUGACGCUUCACCCUCUUUCCAUCUGAGCUCACAACCAAAGAGGAAGACUCUCUGAGUGCAGCAACAAUAUACGAAAGGUCCCGAUUCCGAGCAAGCUUCUUCAAUUUCCUGAAGGAAGCAAUAAUUUGGAUAGGAACAAACCCUUCCUUGUUCUUCUUGAUCAAACCUAACAUAUGUUUGUCUGUGAGCAAAUUUUCAUCGCUAAAGUAGUAUUCCACCUGUUUAAUGAUCCUCUGCUUGAGGUCUUCGGUUUGAUCCGCGGACCCAGACGGGUGAUCUUGAACUUGAUCGCGUUCUACAUCGGCGUCGUCUUCAUGGUCGUGAUCCUCAUCAGACGGCAAAGCAUGAACCUCAGGCUCAGGCAGCGUGUCAUCGGGAGAUCCAACGGGAAUGAAAUCGGAAUGAAGGGGCGGAGAUGCCACGGUGGAAACGAUGGCGGUGUCGGCGGCAGCAACUGCGUUGGGCCCCGUUUCACCCUCCAUCAGAGGAGUUGGAGGAGGAAGAAAGGGAAGCGUUUAAUCGGGAAAUGUGGAAAAAAUUGGAAGAACAGAACCCUUCCGCCCUUCUUCUCCUGCUCUCUAGUCCCUUUGUCCUUAAAGCAUUUUAUAGGAAAGCGU